AACGAACGCUGGCGGCAUGCCUAACACAUGCAAGACGAACGAGAUCUUCGGGUCUAGUGGCGCACGGGUGCGUAACGCGUGGGAAUCUGCCCUUUGGUUCGGAAUAACAGUUGGAAACGACUGCUAAUACCGGAUGAUGACGAAGGUCCUAAGAUUUAUCGCCAGAGGAUGAGCCCGCGUAGGAUUAGCUAGUUGGUGUGGUAAAGGCGCACCAAGGCGACGAUCCUUAGCUGGUCUGAGAGGAUGAUCAGCCACACUGGGACUGAGACACGGCCCAGACUCCUACGGGAGGCAGCAGUGGGGAAUAUUGGACAAUGGGCGAAAGCCUGAUCCAGCAAUGCCGCGUGAGUGAUGAAGGCCUUAGGGUUGUAAAGCUCUUUUACCCGGGAUGAUAAUGACAGUACCGGGAGAAUAAGCUCCGGCUAACUCCGUGCCAGCAGCCGCGGUAA
rnacentral:rRNA from 1 species